ensembl:antisense Gm15722 predicted gene 15722
GCGACAGACAAGCCUGCCUGCCCCCAAGGCUCCUUCCUGCUCUCCCUGUCAGGAAGGCCCUCUCUCAGCAAGGCUCACUAAUGAUGGAACCCGAAUGACCAGCCCUGUUCCUGCUGCUAGAGGCUGCAGAACAAGGAGGGUGGGGGGACUGCCAAGAUGCCGAGGCAAUGGGCACCCGGAUGCCGGAGCACAUGCCCCCGGGUGGGCACAGGCUAUCUACAGGCUGAGCUGAGUAGUAAGCAUGCUUUUACGUGGAGCUCUUGGCUCUCCGAGGGUUCCCUCAAGAGGCUUCCCCUGUCUAAGAUUCUGCAGCUCCUUGGAACCAGGGCCAGCUUCCCCAUUAAGCUUCAGCAAGCAAAUGAGAAGAGGGAACAAAGGCAGCCCAGCAUCAAGCCUGCCCCAACCUGAAUGGGAGCAUGGGAGGCCGACUACCAUGGGCGUUCAGGCUCCCCGCCUCCUGCCCAGCUUCGCACACACACAGGGUCCUGUUGAGCUGUUCACACGAGCACUGAAGGGAAAAACAGGAUGUGUAGAUUUCCCCCCCAAGUAAGGGGAACCAGGGGGCCUCCUCCCAGCCCCACUGCUCUCCUUUGGGUCUCCCCUAGGACCCUUAAAAAGGUGAACUCUUCAAGCUUCAGAGGGGAAGGACCAAAACCUAAGCUACCA